rnacentral:rRNA from 1 species
GGGGAAUUUUCCGCAAUGGGCGCAAGCCUGACGGAGCAAUACCGCGUGGGGGAGGAAGGCCCUUGGGUUGUAAACCCCUUUUGUCAGGGAAGAACACAAUGACGGUACCUGACGNNUCAGCCUCGGCUAACUCCGUGCCAGCAGCCGCGGUAAGACGGAGGAGGCAAGCGUUAUCCGGAAUUAUUGGGCGUAAAGCGUCCGUAGGUGGCCCCUCAAGUCUGCUGUUAAAGCCCAGGGCUCAACCCUGGAGAAGCAGUGGAAACUGGAGGGCUAGAGUGCGGUAGGGGUAGAGGGAAUUCCCGGUGUAGCGGUGAAAUGCGUAGAGAUCGGGAAGAACACCAGUGGCGAAAGCGCUCUGCUGGACCGCAACUGACACUGAGGGACGAAAGCUAGGGGAGCGAAUGGGAUUAGAUACCCCAGUAGUC